UUCGGUUUUCAGUUUUCAGCUUCAGUCUUCUGCUUGUUUUUUUUUUUACGUUUGUAAUCAUUUUUCCAGCACAUUAAAAAAUCAUUUAAUUUCCUGCAUCGGCUAAUUUACAUUGAACGUGCCAGACAGAGAGGCCAUCUAGACGGAGUUUUGGACUUGGAGUUGUACAUGGAGAUGGAGAUCGAGAUGGAGAGGAAGCUAAUGGCACCCAGCCAGGUGAUGAUGCGCCAAGUCGAAGACAAUGACGAUUUGUAAUUUCUGAUGGCUGCUCUAGAGCUUCGAGAGGGGCGGACCUUGAAAUACAUACAUGUAUCCGUAUCUGUAUCUGCAGAUCCGAAUCUAUGUUUGCUUUGUAACCUAGAAUGCUGACGAGUGGAGCGCCGCGAACGUGUAAUUUAAAUUAAACUACGAUAAUUUCUGAUGCAAUGCCCCCCCAAGACGGACAGAAUCAAUUAAGGCGUCUUUUGAUGUAAAUUGCGCCUCACUUUGAAUAUGCCGUGCCACUCUAGAUGAUGAUAUUUCGAGAGCGAUUUUGGAUUCGAGAUCUCCGUGGCUCCGACUUCUUCGCACACCGACUGCAUUUUUCGCCCGACGCGAAGGUCGCUGCCUUUUGCCAGAAUCCGGAGUAAAAGUCGAUUGACUCACACACAAAAUUGCCAAACUUUGACAUUUUGGAACCGCUCUAAAGUGAACUGAAGUGGAUGUGAGUAAGCUGGGUGUGGAUGAAUUAUGAUACGGAUGACUAUAAGGAAAUUGGGGGUCUCAACAACAGAUUCUUCCGAGAACCUAUUUAUAAAGAAA
ensembl:ncRNA lncRNA:CR44639 long non-coding RNA:CR44639